GAGAAAGUCACAGUGGUUGUGGCGUUGGCUUGAAACCAAUUUUAGGGGGUUCGACUCCUUCCUUUCUUA
rnacentral:tRNA from 1 species